AACAGCAGUCACCAGGCCCACAAAGCCUAAAAUAUUUGCCAUCCGGUCCGUUACGGAAAAAGUUUGCCGAUCACUG